GGUUUGAUCAUGGCUCAGGAUGAACGCUAGCUACAGGCUUAACACAUGCAAGUCGAGGGGCAGCAUUUUAGUUUGCUUGCAAACUAAAGAUGGCGACCGGCGCACGGGUGAGUAACACGUAUCCAACCUGCCGAUAACUCGGGGAUAGCCUUUCGAAAGAAAGAUUAAUAUCCGAUAGUAUAUUAAAACCGCAUGGUUUUACUAUUAAAGAAUUUCGGUUAUCGAUGGGGAUGCGUUCCAUUAGUUUGUUGGCGGGGUAACGGCCCACCAAGACUACGAUGGAUAGGGGUUCUGAGAGGAAGGUCCCCCACAUUGGAACUGAGACACGGUCCAAACUCCUACGGGAGGCAGCAGUGAGGAAUAUUGGUCAAUGGACGAGAGUCUGAACCAGCCAAGUAGCGUGAAGGAUGACUGCCCUAUGGGUUGUAAACUUCUUUUAUAUGGGAAUAAAGUAUUCCACGUGUGGGAUUUUGUAUGUACCAUAUGAAUAAGGAUCGGCUAACUCCGUGCCAGCAGCCGCGGUAAUACGGAGGAUCCGAGCGUUAUCCGGAUUUAUUGGGUUUAAAGGGAGCGUAGGUGGAUUGUUAAGUCAGUUGUGAAAGUUUGCGGCUCAACCGUAAAAUUGCAGUUGAAACUGGCAGUCUUGAGUACAGUAGAGGUGGGCGGAAUUCGUGGUGUAGCGGUGAAAUGCUUAGAUAUCACGAAGAACUCCGAUUGCGAAGGCAGCUCACUAGACUGCAACUGACACUGAUGCUCGAAAGUGUGGGUAUCAAACAGGAUUAGAUACCCUGGUAGUCCACACAGUAAACGAUGAAUACUCGCUGUUUGCGAUAUACAGUAAGCGGCCAAGCGAAAGCAUUAAGUAUUCCACCUGGGGAGUACGCCGGCAACGGUGAAACUCAAAGGAAUUGACGGGGGCCCGCACAAGCGGAGGAACAUGUGGUUUAAUUCGAUGAUACGCGAGGAACCUUACCCGGGCUUAAAUUGCAUUUGAAUAAUCUGGAAACAGGUUAGCCGCAAGGCAAAUGUGAAGGUGCUGCAUGGUUGUCGUCAGCUCGUGCCGUGAGGUGUCGGCUUAAGUGCCAUAACGAGCGCAACCCUUAUCUUUAGUUACUAACAGGUCAUGCUGAGGACUCUAGAGAGACUGCCGUCGUAAGAUGUGAGGAAGGUGGGGAUGACGUCAAAUCAGCACGGCCCUUACGUCCGGGGCUACACACGUGUUACAAUGGGGGGUACAGAAGGCAGCUACCUGGUGACAGGAUGCUAAUCCCAAAAACCUCUCUCAGUUCGGAUCGAAGUCUGCAACCCGACUUCGUGAAGCUGGAUUCGCUAGUAAUCGCGCAUCAGCCAUGGCGCGGUGAAUACGUUCCCGGGCCUUGUACACACCGCCCGUCAAGCCAUGAAAGCCGGGGGUACCUGAAGUACGUAACCGCAAGGAGCGUCCUAGGGUAAAACUGGUAAUUGGGGCUAAGUCGUAACAAGGUAACC
rnacentral:rRNA from 1 species